CAGCUGCAGAAGACAAUGACUAUGGGCCCUCAGGACAUCACUGGAUCCACAGUGGUGACUAUCUCUCUGCACUCUGAAUGCUUGCUUAAUUUCUACCCUCUUUUCUGAA